rnacentral:tRNA from 1 species
UCCUUAGUAGCUCAGGGGUCAGAGCAGACGGCUGUUAACCGUCGGGUCGUUGGUUCAAAUCCAACCUGAGGAG